CACGUAGGGCGCAAGCGUUGUCCGGAAUUAUUGGGCGUAAAGAGCUCGUAGGCGGACUGUCACGUCUGCUGUGAAAAGCUGGGGCUUAACCCUGGCCUUGCAGUGGAUACGGGCAGACUAGAGGUAGGUAGGGGAGAAUGGAAUUCCCGGUGUAGCGGUGAAAUGCGCAGAUAUCGGGAAGAACACCCGUGGCGAAGGCGGUUCUCUGGGACGGUACUGACGCUGAGACGCGAAAGCGUGGGGAGCGAACAGG
rnacentral:rRNA from 1 species